CAGGCUGCAACUCGCCUGCAUGAAGUUGGAAUUGCUAGUAAUCGCGAAUCAGAAUGUCGCGGUGAAUACGUUCCCGGGCCUUGUACACACCGCCCGUCACACCAUGAGAGUCGAUAACACCCGAAGCCUGUGAGCUAACCUUUUAGGAGGCAGCAGUCGAAGGUGGGGUUGAUGAUUGGGGUGAAGUCGUAACAAGGUAAC
rnacentral:rRNA from 1 species